CAAGAGCGUAUGUAAAAGUUGUUGCAGUUAAAAAGCUCGUAGUUGAACCUUGGGUUUGGUUGGCCGGUCCGCUUUUUUGCGAGUACUGGAUUCAACCGAGCCUUUCCUUCUGGCUAACCAGUCGUUUCGGCGGCUGGCGAACCAGGAUUUUUACUUUGAGAAAAUUAGAGUGUUCAAAGCAGGCAUUAGCUUGAAUAUAUUAGUAUGGAAUAAUAGAAUAGGACGUUAUGGUUCUAUUUUGUUGGUUUCUAGGACCAUCGUAAUGAUUAAUAGGGACGGUCGGGGGCAUCAGUAUUCAGUUGUCAGAGGUGAAAUUCUUGGAUUUACUGAAGACUAACUACUGCGAAAGCAUUUGCCAAGGACGUUUUCAUUAA
rnacentral:rRNA from 1 species